CACGGGGGGAGCAAGCGUUAUUCGGAAUCACUGGGCUUAAAGGGUGCGUAGGCGGCGGCGCAAGUUGGGUGUGAAAUCCCUCGGCUCAACCGAGGAACUGCGCUCAAAACUGCGUCGCUUGAGGGAGAUAGAGGUGAGUGGAACUUAGGGUGGAGCGGUGAAAUGCGUUGAUAUCCUAAGGAACACCAGUGGCGAAAGCGACUCACUGGGUCUCUUCUGACGCUGAGGCACGAAAGCUAGGGUAGCGAACGGG
rnacentral:rRNA from 1 species